UACGAAGGGGGGCAAGCGUUGUUCGGAAUUACUGGGCGUAAAGCGUGCGUAGGUGGUGAGUUAAGUCUGUCGUGAAAGCCCCGGGCUCAACCUGGGAAUGGCGGUGGAAACUGGCGAGCUAGAGUGUGUCAGAGGGGGGUGGAAUUCCACGUGUAGCAGUGAAAUGCGUAGAGAUGUGGAGGAACACCAAUGGCGAAGGCAGCCCCCUGGGAUAACACUGACGCUCAGGCACGAAAGCGUGGGGAGCAAACAGG
rnacentral:rRNA from 1 species